rnacentral:lncRNA from 1 species
UUGGUCCACCCAUCAACAGGAUUUCAGUUUCAGAGCCACCUCUGGGUCUGCACCUCCCCUGUGGGGCCUACUGUUUGGCCUUGUGCAGUGCUUUGGAUCUCUGCUUUCCAGAUCAGAUUACAACAAUCCAUUUAACUACUAUGAAACGGUUCUGGAGUGACACUGUUGUGAAGAGGAAAUUCCAGCGGAGCUACUGGAGCAAGCCUUUGAUCUGCCAUAUUGAACUCCUCCAGCUGUGCGGAUUCACUGCACUAUAAGAAAAACAUUUCUACGACCACUUUAAAGCUAAACUCAUUUCAGGCUGUACAAGCAUGGCAACCGUAUCUGCUCAGCUCCUGGUGAGGCCUCAAGAAGCUUUUCAUCAUGGUGGAAGAUGAAAGGGGAGCAGGCAUGUCAUAUGGAUUGCUUUAAAUUUAGCAACAUCAUCUCACUGGCAAUACAUGAGUUGUAUUUCUUGAAUACAGGAAGCUACAUUCACUUCAGUGAAGGCUUGACGUCAUCAGGCAGCAUUAGCAUCACCUGGGACUUUUCAAGCCUCACCUCAGACCUACUAAAUCCGAGUCUGCAUUUUAAGAAGCUCCCCAGGUGAUUAAUCCCCACAAUAAAGUUUCAGAAGC